UGCACAAUCUCCUCUAUACCACUUCAGUCUCUGGGAAGAAGAAACUCAAAGUUCUGAGUUAGAAUUGAAGGCUGAAGAAGAAUCUGCUGACUGGACCUGUGAUCCUGUUCCUGUCGUCUCUGUUCUUAACUCUCUUCCUUUGGAUUGACACAUGGUUAACAAAGUUGGGGCAACCUAGUAUGCUGAAUGGUGGUAAUAGCAAUUUC
rnacentral:lncRNA from 1 species